AUACAGUGUAGUGAUUCAUUUGGAACCAGAGGCCUUGUAUUUUUGCUGGAUCAGAAAGAGUUCAUGUGAGCACUUUUACAAAAGCAUCAUCAAAAAAAGAGAGAUUGCAGGGAGGAAAAUGACAGAGCAAACUGGAUGGUUGACUGGGCUUGACUGAAAAAAAAAAUCCCAAACAAAUUAGGAGUACACUAAUGAUCUGGCCCAAAGCUAAGCAGUAAAAAUGACAGCAAAAGCUCAUGAGACCAUGGGGAAAGGAAAGCAAUUCUGUGCAGUUGAUGGCCACGAAAGAGCUGGAAGAUGCAGAGGGGCACUGUGAAAUGCUGUCCUGUGGACAUGUCUUGGCUACCACGUGCCUGAAUUACAGUGCCUGUGGUUACAGGUGCAA
rnacentral:lncRNA from 1 species